rnacentral:rRNA from 1 species
UACGAAGGGGACUAGCGUUGUUCGGAAUCACUGGGCGUAAAGCGCACGUAGGCGGAUAUGUCAGUCAGGGGUGAAAUCCCGGGGCUUAACCUCGGAACUGCCUUUGAUACAGCAUAUCUUGAGUCCGAUAGAGGUGGGUGGAAUUCCUAGUGUAGAGGUGAAAUUCGUAGAUAUUAGGAAGAACACCGGUGGCGAAGGCGGCCCACUGGAUCGGUACUGACGCUGAGGCACGAAAGCCAGGGGAGCAAACGGG